AACGAACGCUGGCGGCAGGCUUAACACAUGCAAGUCGAACGCCCCGCAAGGGGAGUGGCAGACGGGUGAGUAACGCGUGGGAACAUACCCUUUUCUACGGAAUAGCUCUGGGAAACUGGAAUUAAUACCGUAUACGCCCUACGGGGGAGAGAUUUAUCGGGGAAGGAUUGGCCCGCGUUGGAUUAGCUAGUUGGUGGGGUAAAGGCCUACCAAGGCGACGAUCCAUAGCUGGUCUGAGAGGAUGAUCAGCCACAUUGGGACUGAGACACGGCCCAAACGCCUACGGGAGGCAGCAGUGGGGAAUAUUGGACAAUGGGCGCAAGCCUGAUCCAGCCAUGCCGCGUGAGUGAUGAAGGCCUUAGGGUUGUAAAGCUCUUUCACCGAUGAAGAUAAUGACGGUAGUCGGAGAAGAAGCCCCGGCUAACUUCGUGCCAGCAGCCGCGGUAACAC
rnacentral:rRNA from 1 species